UACGUAGGGGGCAAGCGUUGUCCGGAUUUAUUGGGCGUAAAGAGCGUGUAGGCGGCCUGAAAGGUCAGCUGUGAAAACUCGAGGCUCAACCUCGAGACGUCGGUUGAAACCAUCUGGCUAGAGUCCGGAAGAGGAGAGUGGAAUUCCCGGUGUAGCGGUGAAAUGCGCAGAUAUCGGGAAGAACACCCGUGGCGAAGGCGGCUCACUGGCCCGAUACUGACGCUGAGGUGCGAAAGCGUGGGGAGCAAACAGG
rnacentral:rRNA from 1 species